ensembl:lncRNA
GCACAAGAAGCCAUGCAUUUCCUUAGAAAAAAGGUGUUGAAUCUUUCCAAGUUCUGCACCAUAGAAUGCUGAGGGGAAAAUGUUUAGCUUGAAGAAAUUUAAAGCCUCCAGACACUUGAAAGGUAACCAAGUCAGGUAAUCCCAGUGUUGCAGAUGAGAGCCGAAACAGGAGGGUUUGAGUGAGCAGAAGACUAGGAUGAGCACUGGGUGUUCCUGCUUCUCCAGCCCCUGACUUCCUGCUGGAAUCUGUAUCAUGGUUACGUAGUUUGGUACCUGGACCACUCUUAACCAUGGAGUCAAAGACUGAGGACACAGAAUAUCUCUGGAAGGAUGUAUACAAAACUAGACACAUUGGGUUGCCUACAAGAAGAAGAAGUGGGCAAGAAAGUGCAAUGCUGUGCUGUGCUCAGUCUCUCAGUUGUGUCCAACUCUCUGCGACCCCAUGGACUGUAGCCCGCCAGGCUCCUCUGUCCGUGGGAUUUCCCAGAUGGAUUCUUUACCACUAAGCCACCUGGGAAGCCCAACAAAGUGUGAAAGAAAUAGAAUUACACUCUUUUGUGCCAAUCCAUCUAUUUUUAAAAAAGUCUCCCUCGUCUCCAGCCAUCAGAAGUCCGCUCAGGCUCUCUUCUGUGAUGUACCCUCAAAGAAUCCAGCCCUCUGUGACUUGGCUCUCAUCCAAAUGUCUAUAACAUUGUAUUGUCUGCUCUACACAUUGGGCCUUCACCCCACACCCUUAUCUUUCAAGGAUAUAUGCAUUGUAUUCCCAAAUAAGAUUCCCAAAUCCUUGAAGGACAAUUUUUCUGAAACUCCCUCUUCCUGGCAGAAGCUUACCCUUGAUUGAUGUCCCAGUGAUAUUCUGUGACUAAUCUAUUCUUUGUGGAAAUUGUAUUCCACAUAUAUGCUUGCUUGAUAUACACAUGAAUCCCAACCUGUACCAUGG